AUUACCCUACGGGAGCAGCAGUGAAGAAUAUUGGUCAAUGGGCGGGAGCCUGAACCGGCCAAGCCGCGUGAGGGAAGAAGGUACAGCGUAUCGUAAACCUCUUUUGUCAGGGAACAAAGGCGGGGACUAGUCCCCGGAUGAGGGUACCUGAAGAAAAAGCAUCGGCUAACUCCGUGCCAGCAGCCGCGGUAAUACGGAGGAUGCGAGCGUUAUCCGGAUUUAUUGGGUUUAAAGGGUGCGCAGGCGGCCUGUUAAGUCAGCGGUAAAAGCCCGGGGCUCAACCCCGGCGAGCCGUUGAAACUGGC
rnacentral:rRNA from 1 species